GCUACCACUGAGUACCCUGCCCUGAACCUUAGUGACUGUUACUAGCCGGACUCCACCCAGUACCCUGCCCUGAACCUUAGUGACUGUUACUAGCCAGCUACCACUGAGUACCCUGCCCUGAACCUUAGCCACUGUUACUAGCCAGCUACCACUCAGUACCCUGCCCCGAACCUUAGUGACUGUUACUAGCCAGCUACCACUCAGUACCCUGCCCUGAACCUUAGUGACUGUUACUAGCCAGCUACCACUCAGUACCCUGCCCUGAACCUUAGUGACUGUUACUAGCCAGCUACCACUUAGUACCCUGCCCUGAACCUUAGUGACUGUUACUAGCCAGCUACCACUCAGUACCCUGCCCUGAACCUUAGUCACUGUUACUAGCCAGCUACCACUCAGUACCCUGCCCUGAACCUUAGUCACUGUUACUAGCCAGCUACCAUUUAGUACCCUGCCCUGAACCUUAGUGACUGUUACUAGCCAGCUACCACUUAGUACCCUGCCCUGAACCCUAGUCACUGUUACUAGCCAGCUACCACUCAGUACCCUGCCCUGAACCUUAGUGACUGUUACUAGCCAGCUACCACUUAGUACCCUGCCCUGAACCUUAGUGACUGUUACUAGCCAGCUACCAUUCAGUACCCUGCCCUGAACCUUAGUGACUGUUACUAGCCUCCCCCAGUACCCUGCCCUGAACCUUAGUGUCUGUUACUAGCCGGACUCCACCCAGUACCCUGCCCUGAACCUUAGUGACUGUUACUAGCCUCCCCCAGUACCCUGCCCUGAACCUUAGUGACUGUUACUAGCCUCCCCCAGUACCCUGCCCUGAACCUUAGUGACUGUUACUAGCCUCCCCCAGUACCCUGCCCUGAACCUUAGUGACUGUUACUAGCCUCCCCCAGUACCCUGCCCUGAACCUUAGUGACUGUUACUAGCCUCCCCUAGUACCCUGCGCCGAACCUUAGUGACUGUUACUAGCCGGACUCCACCCAGUACCCUGCCCUGAACCUUAGUGACUGUUACUAGCCAGCUACCACUGAGUACCCUGCCCUGAACCUUAGUCACUGUUACUAGCCAGCUACCACUCAGUACCCUGUACCUUAGCCACUGUUACUAGCCAGCUACCACUCAGUACCCUGCCCCGAACCUUAGUGACUGUUACUAGCCAGCUACCACUCAGUACCCUGGCCUGAACCUUAAUGACUGUUACUAGCCGGACUCCACACAGUACCUUGCCCUGAACCUUAGUGACUGUUACUAGCCAGCUACCAAUCGGUACCCUGCCCUGAACCUUAGUGACUGUUACUAGCCGGCCUCCACCCAUACCCUGCCCUGAACCUUAGUGACUGUUACUAGCCUCCCCCAGUACCCUGCUCUGAACCUUAGUGACUGUUACU
ensembl:lncRNA